rnacentral:rRNA from 1 species
CCUACGGGGGGCUGCAGUGGGGAAUAUUGCACAAUGGGCGCAAGCCUGAUGCAGCCAUGCCGCGUGUGUGAAGAGGGCCUUCGGGUUGUAAAGCACUUUCAGCGGGGAGGAAGGCGGUGAGGUUAAUAACCUCAUCGAUUGACGUUACCCGCAGAAGAAGCACCGGCUAACUCCGUGCCAGCAGCCGCGGUAAUACGGAGGGUGCAAGCGUUAAUCGGAAUUACUGGGCGUAAAGCGCACGCAGGCGGUCUGUCAAGUCGGAUGUGAAAUCCCCGGGCUCAACCUGGGAACUGCAUUCGAAACUGGCAGGCUAGAGUCUUGUAGAGGGGGGUAGAAUUCCAGGUGUAGCGGUGAAAUGCGUAGAGAUCUGGAGGAAUACCGGUGGCGAAGGCGGCCCCCUGGACAAAGACUGACGCUCAGGUGCGAAAGCGUGGGGAGCAAGCAGGAUUAGAUACCCUUGUAGUC